rnacentral:rRNA from 1 species
UACGUAGGGGCCGAGCGUUGUCCGGAGUUAUUGGGCGUAAAGCGCGCGCAGGCGGCUUGACGCGCCCGACGUGAAAGCCCCCGGCUUAACCGGGGAGGGUCGUCGGGUACGGUCAGGCUUGAGGGCGGGAGAGGGUGGUGGAAUUCCCGGUGUAGUGGUGAAAUGCGCAGAUAUCAGGAGGAACACCGGUGGCGAAGGCGGUUCUCUGGGCAUUACCUGACGCUGAGGAGCGAAAGUGUGGGGAGCGAACAGG